rnacentral:rRNA from 1 species
GUACUAGCCUGCCGAUUCCCUCCUUCUUGUAGAACCGUAAUGCCAUUAAUUUGGUGUUGCGGGGAAACAGGACUGUUACUUUGAAAAAAUUAGAGUGUUUAAAGCAGGCUAGCGCCUGAAUACAUUAGCAUGGAAUAAUGAAAUAGGACGUUUGAUCCUAUUUUGUUGGUUUCUAGGAUUGACGUAAUGAUUAAUAGGGAUAGUUGGGGGCAUUAGUAUUCAAUUGUCAGAGGUGAAAUUCUUGGAUUUAUUGAAGACUAACUACUGCGAAAGCAUUUGCCAAGGAUUGUUUUCAUUAAUCAAGAACGAAAGUUAGGGGAUCGAAGACGAUCAGAUACCGUCGUAGUCUUAACCAUAAACUAUGCCGACUAGGGGAUCGGAUGAUGUUU